UCCAUGAACUACAGGAAGCCUUUUUAGGGGAGCGGGGGGCUGAGCAGUCUUCUGAACAACCGCAGGAUGAGUCUACAUAAUGUGUGAGAAACCCGAUGGCAAAUUGUGAGAGUUGGGAUUUGCUCUAAUGUCAUUCACAAAUUUGUUUUUUUCACAUCAGCGUUCCCUGGUGGGAUGUGCACUACAGUAGCUGUGGCGACCUGUGGUUUUCUAGUGAUCUGUUGUGUAAAUUGUAGAGACAAUCCUUAGUGGCUGACCUUGAUGCUGACUUGUGGACCACCACCAAAUGUGAAAUACGGAGGUAGAGGGUUGAUUCAGAUUUCUUAAAAAUCAUGUGGAAGAUGGUUUGUCAGCAUGCAAAGGAGAGUUGUAACUUAAAUAAGCACCAAAUAAUGUGAAGACUGCAUUCUAAGGAAGAAAUGAGUAAGUCAUACAGUGUAUGAUCUGAAACUUUCUGAGAAGGUAUUGGUGAGAAACUGAUUCAAGGAUGUUAAAGUUGACUGUAAUACUGAAAGCAUUUGUACAUGUUAAUGUUGUUGUUGCAGUAGUUACCCCUAAAUUGGGAAGUCAGUUUGGUAGGGCUUAGGUCCUCUGUUAUUUCUGCAACUUGGAGCAUGUGUGGGGACAGAGAGGGAGAAUGAAAUGCAAAAUUUGAGUUAUGUCUUGAAUUUCUUGAAAAUGUGUACUUUACCCUCAGAAAGCAGAACAACUGAAGUCAGUUAAGAAGAAUGGGUACUGGAAGAUUUGAUGUAUUUUAAAGGAAUAAAUCCAAAUAGAGAUUUUCAGAUCUUGCUGAUUUAUUUAAAGGGCCAUUUAUGACUUUCAUGAGUUGAUGGUAAACCUCCAGUUACACUGAACCAGAAUUUAGUUUCACUCUUGGCUCUAAACAAGCAAAAAUAUUGAUAAUGUGUUAAGAAUGAAUGGAAAUGUUUUGUUUGUGGUUAGGUACACAGAACAUUUCCUCACUUUCAGUACUGUUUGUACGUUCUGAGCAAAACUAACCAAAGCAUGUGUAGCCACAGGAGCUGUGCCAUCUUCUGCACUGUAAUUCUCUUUCAAAUAAAUAAAGCUGUGUGUCCCAAAGGCA